rnacentral:rRNA from 1 species
AUUGAACGCUGGCGGCAGGCUUAACACAUGCAAGUCGAGCGAGCGGCGGCCGGGUGAUUAAUGUCUGGGAAACUGCCUGAUGGAGGGUGAUAACUACUGGAAACGGUAGCUAAUACCUCAUACUAUCAGAUGUGCCCAGAUGGGCUUAGCUAGUAGGUGGGGUAAUGGCUCACCGAGGCGACGAUCCCUAGCGGGUCUGAGAGGAUGACCAGCCACACUGGAACUGAGACACGGUCCAGACGCCUACGGGAGGCAGCAGGGGGGAAUAUGGCACAAUGGGAGCAAGCCUGAUGCAGCGAUGCCGCGUGUGUGAAGAAGGCCUUCGGGUUGUAAAGCACUUUCAGCGAGGAGGCGUUACUCGCAGAAGAAGCACCGGCUAACUCCGUGCCAGCAGCCGCGGUAAUUC